ensembl:lncRNA
CCCAUAUAGCACAGAAAAUAUUUUCUAAGACCCACUGGCAUGCUGCCUUUUAAAAAAAAACAUAUAUUUUUAUUUUGUUUAAAAAAAAAAACACUCCUUGAGUACAGAGAGUGCGCCAUUUUCUCUAUCCUCACAUCGGUCUUGUUUGAGCUUCACCUUUACCUUAAAUCCACCUGAACAUGAGGGUUGCGUGUGAGUCUGCAUGGAGCCUAAAUAUCUCCUGGUCUCCUGGGCAAAGCCAAGUCACACCUGACACACACCUGCAUGAGACUGGAUUGAAAUGCAAACUACAUCUUCUACAAGGCAAUAGGUGUUCAUGGUUGACUGGAUGGCUUGGAUAUGAUGGAUAUGUUACUGAGCUGAAUCAUCACCAGGUGCUGAUGUAGACUUGAAGACAGGAUGCUAAAAACAUUAAACUAGUUAAGUCUUGCAGGUUUAGCUAUAGACAAGUAGAUAAUAGGAUAAAUAGGAUAAGGAAGAUUAUUUUGUCAUGCAAUGGAAAGUCAAACAUCACUGGACCCCACAGAUUGUCACAGACAUGUUUCAAAAUCUUUUUUGCAUUCAACAUAAAAAUAAAGAUAUA